rnacentral:lncRNA from 10 species
UUCUUUGCCACCAAACUGCGUGUUCCCAUAGGAAAGACACAGCAUAACGCAUCAGUUGCUCCUUGCUACUAAACAGUUGGUGGGAAAACUAAAAUCUGCAGGGAAGAAGAGUAAGAUAAUUUUUUAACUCUUCAAGGGCACAUUUCCUGUUAACCAGCUCUGUCCCCUGGGACAAGUGUGUUAAAUGAAUAUUGACUUGGGGAAGAAUCUGGGAUCAAAUAGGAUUCUGAGCCUGUGAAGAUGCUUCUCUCUCCUCAUCCCCAUGCUGGUGGGUGAUUUUUUUAAGGUCUUCAUCUUCUAAUUCCCCUAUUUCAACUGUUUGAAUCUUUCUGGGAGACUGAUUCUUCAUUGAGGCUGCACUUGAGAACAUGACAUAAAACCAUAAUUUUAAAAGCACUCUAAGACUUGAUACAAUGAAAUCAACUUAAAUGUAAUUAUUUCUUUCCAGGAUAUUCUUUUUUUUUUUUUUUUUUUGCCUUUUUAAAUCAUUGCAGUUCUUUUCUGCUAAUCUCUAACAUCCCUAUUCCAUGACCCCCCACCAAUAAAUCCUAGUUUUGCUUCCUCCUUGGCCUGACUUUUGCUUGUUACCCGGAAGCAUAAAAGCAUCUCAAGUUUAAAAGACGUGUGGUCAGAAGCAAAGAAAAGACCCACCAAAGAUGAUGUCAAUUAAGUCUAGCAGAAGCAUUUCUUUCCAUG